AGUAGUAGUAUGUGAUUGCAGAAUUCAGUGAAUCAUCGAAUCUUUGAACGCACAUUGCGCCCCUCGGUAUUCUGGGGGGCAUGCCUGUUCGAGCGUCAUUUCUCCCCUCAAGUCCCCUGUGGACUUGGAGUUGGGGAUCGGCGAGGCUGGUUUUCCAGCACAGCCGUCCCUUAAAUUAAUUGGCGGUCUCGCCGUGGACCUCCUCUGCGCAGUAGUAAAGCGCUCGCAACAGGAGCCGGCGCGGUCCACUGCCGUAAAACCCCCACUUUUAUAUUGCUCAAUCAGUAGACUCCCCUGAACUUAAGCAUAUCAAUAAGCGGAGGA
rnacentral:rRNA from 1 species